rnacentral:lncRNA from 1 species
GUGUUAAGAGAGAAUGCGUGGAAAACGAUUAUGUGGAAAGAGGUAAAUGUGGGCGACAUUGUGAAGGCCUCAAAUGGACAGUUCCUUCCUGCAGACAUGGUUCUGAUUUCUUCCAGGUUGGUUAUGAUAGUGGGCAUUUAAGGAACUUUUUUAAAAAAAAUUUUUAUUUAUUUAUUUUAGAGUGUGUGGGGGAGGGUCGCAGACCCGGACGGAGAGUCUCAAGCAGACUGUGCACUGAGCACGGAGCUCCCCUCAGGGCUGGAUCUCAUGACCCUGAGAUCACAAGCUGAGCCCAAACCACCAGUCUGGCAGCUAACAGACUGCGCCACCCAAGCGCCCCCAUUUAAGAAACUUUUAUUCUGAAUUAGAAAUUUUAAGAAAACCAAAGGCCUUCCUUUCUCACCCCUUUCUCCAUCCAUCUCUCUAUAUUACAGAUCAGCAAAGUUUUACUGCAAAGUAAAGUUGCAAAACCUGCCACUUUACUGGGAAAGGACUGAUAGUAAAUAUUUUUAGCUUUGAGGGCCACGCAGAAUCUGUUGCAGAAUCAGAAGCAGCCAUAGGCAAUAUGUAAACAAAUAGGUGUGGCCGUGUUCCAAUAAAACUUUAUUUAUAAAAAGAGGCAGGGCCUGGAUUUAGCCUGUGGGCCAUAGUUUACUGACUGCUGUUCUAUACUUUCAUUAUCUUUAAUUUCCCUGGACAUAUUUUCUUCUAUCCAAAUUGUUAGAUUAAUUCCAUCCCUUCUAUAAUUUCCACAGAUAGUCAGCAAAAUUUUUAAAUUUAUGCUUAUCGUAUUUUAAUCUCAUGGCAAUUCUGAGAUGUUCCCAUUCUUUAAACAAAGUGACUCACACAGAGAGUAAGUGAUUUUUUCAGUACCAUUAAGUGGGCUCGUGUGAGACCCACAUUUAAAAACACAGCCCCUGUUCUUUUUGUAGAACUAUACGGCUUUAUUCUUGGCUGUUUUGGAGGAAACUUACACAGAGCUCACCUACAAUGGAUAUUUCCUUUCGAUUAGGUCAUGUGUGACCACCUCUCUAUGCUUCUAUGUUGGGCCCCCUGGGGAGCUCGUUGUCCCCUCCUUCAUGUUCUCUGUAGGGAGAACAUAGUCUGGGGAGUCUGUGGGUAAAGGUGGCUAUAGUCAUGAACACAGCUACAUUUGACAUGUUGGGUCAACUAUUUACCUAGAUCAAGUCAUAAUCAUCUCAAAGUAAUAAGGAAAAAUGUUCCUAGACUUCUAGACACGCAUCAUCUUGGAGCAUGGAGAGGUUUAUUGGGAAGAGAGAUUUGUUCUAGAGCAUUGGGCUCCCUGCUCGGCGGGAAGCCUGCUUCUCCCUCUCCCACUCCCCCUGCUUGUGUUCCCUCUCUCGCUGCCUCUCUCUCUGUCAAAUAAAUAAAUAAAAUCUUUAAAAAAAAAAAGAAAAGGGACUAUAGGUCCUGCAAAGUCUAAAAUAUUAAAAAAAUAAAAAUAAAAAGAACUGGACAGUUACAAUGCCUGGCUAGAAACUUUAAACUCUGGAUAUUUGUCUAAAAAU